rnacentral:lncRNA from 1 species
CUUAGCGAAAAAGGCCCUGAUUCUGCAAAAGUAAAAAACAUCCAAUUUCUCUGCUUGCAUAGCAUAAUUUGCAACAUUAUUGCACAUGCAUCGCAAACUUUAUUAUAUAAGCCCCUUGCAAAUACCAAUUCCACUUUACAACGACAGGGAAUCAUUAUUUUUUGCUCAAGUUCUGUGUUGUGUUACGUAACUCGCAAAUCGAUAUCGGAUCUACAAUAUGGCGACCACAUAUUCAUUUAGCUGUGUAGGUGAAAAAUAUUCACAGAAAACUUAAAGGUACGGACUUCUGUAACAUUUUCAACACACUAAUUUGAUGAAAAGAUGUAUUAUUUAGACAAUGAUCUUAUCAGAUGAAGCUGUCAACACAAUAUUUAUCAUUUAUUUUGAUAAAGAAAGUGUCCAGAAAAUGUUCUGACCAAAUGACCAUUGACACCUACACACUGUCAACUUUCAGAAUUGUUUAAAUUCAUGAGAUUCCAAUAGUAUUUUCUCCAGUACCUUGAAAAGCUCAUGAAUUAAUUAUAGAAUACUUGCAUAGUGAUAUUUUCAUGGGAUUUGGUUGUCAUUUGGUGAAAAUGGUCAUGUUGGUCAAAACAUUUUCAGGACACUUUUUUAACACAAUAAUUAAAUAAUUAAUGUCAAGAAAGAUAACAGUCUCCAGAUCCCUGAAUAAAAUACUAAAGACAGAGCAACAGGAACCCCACCAUCAACUUUGGGUAAUUUCAUGUUUAUCACAUGUGGUACACAUAGCAUACUUAUCGGACCACAGAUGAAUUAUCACGUUGUGAUUGGUUAAACGCUGUCACGUGGUGACCCCCUAUGAGACGGUAUGGGGUUAGUAAGUUUCAUAUGGGGUUCAUGACACGUUAAUGGCGACGUCAUCUAUUAAUGUUGUUGUGUUUCAUUGUUUAUUUUUCAACAAAACGCCGCAGAAAAAGUCCAGCGUCCGAUAAAUUCGUUAUACGGUUAACUAAUGACCCCCUACGGAUCCAUAGAGAGUGAAUAAAAUUCAUAGGGGACUCAGCCUCCGGCCUCACCCCCUAUGAAUUUUACUAACCCUCUAUGGAUCCGUAUGGGGUCAGUAGCGAACCAUAUAACUUAUAAUAGUGUUACUCAUACAUGUCAUAGGAAGGAAAUAUUUGAUUGUUGGUCUCAUCCUGUGAAAAGGGACAGGAGAAUGACUAUGAAAAUUGAUAUUCUCAAUAAACAGUCAACCUGCAAUACCCUUUCAAAGUGGGUCUCAUUGUGGUCUAUUAAGUGUGACGCAGGAUUGCUGAUUUUUUGUAAACAAGAAAGUCAAAUUAUUGUGUUUUGAAAAUGGGUAAUGAAGUCUAGCGAGACACAAGAAAUUAUAAAAAAAUGAGAAUUGCUUACGUAAACAUAGUGUUAGCAGGAUACAUGUAUGUGAAUCAGACAAAACAGUAAGCCCCCCCCCCCCCCCCCCCCCCCCCCCCCCCCCCAAGUGAGACCCCUUCAUUUAGAUUUCUAUGUGUUUUGACAUUAAAAUAUUUGUACUGUCAAAAACCAAAAAAAAUAAAUAUACAUUGUACCAUACAAACUCCAUUGCUCCCACUGUGACAUUUUAUAAUUUUAUUGUGCAAAAUAUUUUUAAUUAAAAGGUUAUUGUUCAAACCUCUUUAACCUAAGGAUAGUUAAAUUUUAAUUAUUUAAAAAGCUCUGCAAGCCUAACACUUUAAAUAUUAUUUAACUGUCUCAAGGUGAGAAGUAUCAUUACACACUUGUUGCAGUGGUGGAAUCUAUAUUUCUCCUCACUAGAUGACGAAAUAUCUGUUCUUUGCAAAUGAUUUGACACUUGUUUCCUUGCACUAUUGAUGUUUAUCUGUCUUAGUGAUGGUCAUUUUGCAGGAUAAACAAAAAAUAAUGGUUGUUCCAUUGUACUUAAUCACAAUUCCCUUAUAACAGCAAUUUAAGAAAUUUAAUUUGUCGAUUUAUUCAUGCAAUUCAACUGCUCACUCAACAUGGGAAGUGAGAAUGGCCUGAAAAGCAUGAAUGCUGUUCAUUAUAACCAAAUUUUUAAUAAAAAUGCAUCUAAGUUGGAACUAGUACAUAUUUGUGUUUUAAGGGGCCAGCUGAAGCACACCUCUGGUCAUAGGAUUUUUCACUGUGUUGAAGACUCAUUAUAUAUUAGUGGCUUUCAGCUGUUUUCUGCUUUUUGGUCGGGUUGUUGUCUCUUUGACACAUUUCUCAUUUCCAUUCUCAAUUUUAUUUGCUUUCAAUGAUUGAGACAAUACUGCAUUCUUGUAAGCUCAAUGACAAAGUUAUAUACCAAAUUACCAAUUAACAAGUAAAGCAUCCUCAUUUUUUUCACACUUUCGCCUUGUUCCAAAUAUAUAUCAUUCUAUAAAAUAAGUUUGGGAACAAGAGUUAAAUAAAAGUGUGUUUCUUUGAGCUGCUCCAGUAUGAUGUGAUAUUUUAUAGACUGUACUUUUAAAAAUUGAUAAGGUAAUGAUAUAAUUUUGGAUGUACAUGUAACAUAUUUUCUGAUUGGCUGACAGUGUUAUGUGUCUCAGUUCAUAGACAUAAUUUUGUCAUGUGACCGUUACAUCAUCAAUGUUUUUUCAUAAUUUGCUCCUGUCUAAAAUGGAAUUGAGAAUUAAAUUAUAAGGAAUGACUAUGAUAUUUUUUUCUGUCUAUUCCAAAUAACAUAUAAAAUGCUAUAAACACUUUAGAAUAACCCUUUAUGUGCACCACAUUUUUUUUAUGUUAUUUCUUCAUAGACACAAAAAAUAUUACAGUCACUCCUUAAACAUCUACAUAUAUAUCUUUGUACUUAUAAAAUUGCAAGUCGUAAUGCAACUUCUGUAAAUGACAUAAGCUUAUUAGCACUGGAAAAUAUGAGACACUAAAUAUUCAUCUAAUGAUUUGAUAAUCCUACAGUAUCAAUCGAUAUCAGUAAGCCUGAAAUGGGAAAGAAAUUCUAUAAUUUCAAUAGCCUUUCUAUUAGUUUUAUAAGGAUCUUUUUGAAAAGUGACUUACAUGUUUCUUGAUAACAAAUUACUCUUACUGAAAAGAACAAUGUCUAAGGAUGAAAGGUAAACUAGGUCUAAGGAUGAAAGGUAAACUAGGUCUUAGGAUGAAAGGUAAACUAGGUUUAAGGAUGAAAGGUAAACUAGGUUUAUAAAUUUUACAUUAUUUUCUCAAAUUGAUUCCUUAUUUUUAUCAAGGUAUGUCUUAAAAAGGGGGGGCAUCAUCUUGUGUGUUAUGGACAUUUAUUUCGAUAUAUAUCAGGCUUUUAUUUGGAACUAUUCUUAAUUAUGGAAUUUGCAUUAUUUCUUGUACUUGAAACUUUUAAUGAAUUCCAUGUUUAUUUGGUAGUAUAAUGUUUUGAGUGGUUCAUAACACCUCCCAUACAAUGUAUUUUGUAAAGAUAGUGUUAUGUGCGGCACAAUACAUUCUAUUAAAAAUGUACUGUCUUCUCUGUAAUAGAAAGUGUUGUGUGCAGCACAGAACAUUAAAGUACAGAAGAAACAUGGAAUUUAUCAAAAAUUUCAAGCACAAGAAAUAAUGCAAAUUCCAUAAUCAAAAAUCAAAAAAAAGUUGAAAUAAUAGCCUGUUACCAUAUAGUGCGUUAUUUUCGGGGGGUGUAAAUAUAAAAUUUAAAAUUUAAAAGUUCACAUGCAAAGGUAUUCAGGAAAGUUUGAAUAUUUUUUAUUAUACCCCCGCUUUAAAAAAGGGGGGGUAUACUAUUUUACCUCUGUCUGUCAGUCCGUCCGUCAGUCCGUCCAUCAGUCCGUCCGUCCAUCAGUCCGUCCGUCAGUCAGUCCGUCCCAUGAAACUUCGUCACAUUUUUCUCAGGAACCACACAUCCACCCUUUCUGUAAUUUGGUAUCAACAUUUAUAUAUGUCAGCCAUACCGUGUGAUGCGUUUUCAGAUUCAUCACUUGACAACUUCCUGUUUACCUAACACUUGUCUGAUUUUACACAUGAUAGCCAAGUUGAAAAUUUUCGUCACAUUUUUCUCAGGAACUACAAUACAAGGAUUUCUGAAAUUUGGUUUCAGGAUUUAUAUAAGUCAGGUAUACCGUGUGAUGCGUUUUCAGAUUCAUCACUCGACAACUUCCUGUUUACCGAACACUUGUAUGAUUUUACACAUGAUAACCAAGUUAAAAAUUUUCGUCACAUUUUACUCAGGAACUACAAUACAAGGAUUUCUGAAAUUUGGUUUUCAGGAUUUUUUAUAAGUCAGCUAUACCGUGUGAUGCGUUUCAGAUUCAUCACUCGACAACUUCCUGUUUACCGAACACUUCCAUAUUUUUUACACUAUUAAUAUUAUCCACUUGCGGCGGGGGUAUCAUCAGUGAGCAGUAGCUCGCAGUUUCACUUGUUAUACCCUUAAUUCAAUGAAAAUCCCGAAAUUUUACACUCGCUAAACAUGCUAAAAUAUACCUGCUAUAUGGUACAUAUACAGAGUUUAUAUGGUCCUGCAACAAAGUUGUUGGUGACAUAUAGUUUUACCCCUUGUCCGUAGUUCCAUGAUUCCGAAAUUUGGUAAUUCCGUAAUUCUGUCAUUCCGUCAUUCCACAACAAAUCAUUAUACAGAGUUGAACUAUAUGUAAUCAAGCUAUGGGAAAAAAGUAAGGGUUACUGGCAAAAAUUUUAAUGGAACUACACAUUCUACAUGACUACGAUGAUGAUGAUUAAAACCAGAUGAUUCCAAAUACAUGUAUCUGUAUUAUCAAAAAUUAAAAUACUUGAGGAGCACAUAUCCUUAACUUAUAUUUCAUUUAUUAUUGAUCCUCUUUCUUUGAUUUAAUUUCAUCAGGAAAGCUGCAUACAAUAUUUCAAUAAGUCUAUACAUGCUAUAUACAAUGAUAUAAGAUGACCGGCCACCCCAUAUUCUAAUUUUCAAGAAUGUACUUUUGAAUUUGCAAUGUAGAAUAAUAUGCUUGAUAAAUCAUCUUUGAAAUAUUGAUAUCACGUUGUCCAUAAAUGAAAUAAACUUCUUUCCAUUGGAAAAUCCCAGACACUAAUUAUUCUUGUAAGGAUUGGAUGAUCAUGCUGUAUUAAUCUCUUGGCUGAAAAAGAGAAGAACUUUUGUAAUCAGAAUAAGGUAUUUGAGUUUAAUAUUAAUGUAUACUAUAAGUAAUCUUUUUUUAAAAGAGUAAAAUUCAUUAUACAUUUUGUAAUUGAGGCAUAAUAUUCUGAAGGAAAGCAAAGAUGCCUGAAGACAAAAGGGUAUACUAGGUACAGCAGUUUUCAAACAAGUUAUUUUAAUUAAGUUAAUUCAAUCAAUUUAUGCUAAGGCCAAAUAAAAAUAUAUGUGUGGUUCCAGUAACCCUAUAUAUCUACCGUCCCUACUUUUUUGGCUUAAAAAUAGCCUACCCUAAAGAUUUUAUUGUCAUUUUUCAUUAAGCACUGUUAAAGUCAGAAUGUUGCUCCCAUAGACUCAAUGUUAAAAUAAAAAAAAAUCCGUACCUACCUACCCUAACUUUUUUCAGAUGUAACUGGAACCACACAUACUUUUUUAUUUGGCCUAAAUUCAAUGUCAGGUGAAAAAUAGGAUGUUUAAAAAAAAAAAAAAGUUGGUCUAUUGGUCUAUUGGUUGAAUAUCAUCAGUCAAAAUCCUUGAAAAAUUCAAUAUAAAAAUUGACAGUAACCAUUUUAACAAAUCCCUUGAAAUCAUACUUGUGAAUUUGACUUCAAAUAGAAAAGAGUGGUGUUUACGUUUGAUACAUUAAACAGUAUUGGUAAGUGGAUGGUUACAACAUAAAGUUACGGUCAGCCAGAAAUAGGAGAAUUUACUUAUUUAUUUAUUUUUUUUUGAAUUUUCAUAAUUUUGAAAAUAAUCUACAGACAUACCUAAAAAUAUAUAGCUUAUAUAUAUUUAUUUUUAUUACUUCAACUACUCACAUUAUAUAUUUUUUUCAUAACCUGUGCAUUUGUUAUAUUAGAUAAUUAUGGUUGAUUAUCUUAAUGGUAAACUUCAUUUUUUGAUAUUACUGAUAUGGUAUAUAAUAUUUUCAAAUAUGGAAAAUUGUAUGUAUAAUACUAACAAAAACUAACAGUUGUAUAUAUAUGUUAUUUACUAAUGUUAACGAGGCCGGGAUAAGUACCGGUACUUGAGUGUUUGAAAACUAACAAAUGUACAGAUUUCAAUAAAAUAUGAUAAAUUAAAAAAAAAAAAAAAAAAAAAAAAAGUUGGUCUAUUGGUCUAUUGGUUGAAUAUCAUCAGUCAAAAUCCUUGAAAAAUUCAAUAUAAAAAUUGACAGUAACCAUUUUAACAAAUCCCUUGAAAUCAUACUUGUGAAUUUGACUUCAAAUGAAAAGAGUGGUGUUUACGUUUGAUACAUUAAACAGUAUUGGUAAGUGGAUGGUUACAACAUAAAGUUACGGUCAGCCAGAAAUAGGAGACAACUCUAGAUAUGUUUUUCUUUUCCGAUUUUCGUGCAGUAUAAGGUUCAUUUCAUCGGAACGGCUUAUCUCAAACACCCAAAUCAUUAUAGUAAGUUGAUUUUUGGAGCAGAUAACAGCCGAAGGCCACCAAUGGGUCUUCAACACAGAGAGGAAAUACCACCCUUGGAGGUGGGUGUCUGAGCUGGCCUAAGGCCAAAUAAAAAUAUAUGUGUGAUUCCAGUAACCAAAACGUCCCUACUUUUUCAGCUUAAAUAUAGCCUACCCUAAAGAUUUUAUUGUCAUUUUACAUUAAGCACUGUAAAAGUCAGAAUGUUGCUCCCAUAGACUCAAUGUAAAUAAAAAACAUAAAAUAAAAAAAAAUCCCUACCUACAUGUACAUGUACCUACCCUAACUUUUUUUCAGAUUAACUGGAACAACACAUACUUUUUUAUUUGUCCUAAAUAAAAAUGUGUACUAGUUACAAUGUAAGUGAAUAUGUAUUGAGGAUUGAGAAACACAAAUGCUAAAUAGUUUGAAUUAAUUUAUUUACUGGCUUUGUGGUGUUGUGGUAAGGAGUUCACCUCGAGUACAUGUUAUUGGAUAUUCUAACAACUCCUGGGUCAAACCGAACACUUCGAAAUUGGUAUUUGUUUAUUCUCCGCUCAGCAGUCUACAAAAUGUACUUUAUAGAGUAAGUGUAAAGACUGGUUGGCUUGAAGUUGGAAUAAUUUGUCCAGGUACGGGGAAUAUAAAAAAAGAAGAUGAUGUAUGAUUGUCAAUGAGACAACUCUCCACAAGAGACCAAAAUAACAGAAAUUAACAACUAUAGGUCACCGUUCAGCCUUCAACAAUGAGCAAAGCCCAUACCGCAAAGUCAGCUAUAACAGGCCCUGAAAUGACAAUGUAAAACAAUGUCUACCUGUGGACUCACCUUCUGAACUAGCAUGUUAAAAUUCUGGCACAGCAUGUCAGUCUGCUACAAAGCAGUGUUAAUUUUCAUUUAUCAUAUAUAUUUCAUGCCUAAUACAGUGCUUUUCACAUAUGUGUGAUGACCAAAAGAAGACAAGCCGUAUUUGCACACCCAGUCUGAUAACCAAUUAUUAGCCCUAUGACGUCACUGGUAGAAAUCCAUAUCAGCUUCAAGUGUUAAUCUUCUUCAUUUUUCAGAAGUAUAUGAUAAAGAGAUUAAUAAAUGGCCUUUUCCAUGGGCUUUGCUCAUUGUUGAAGGCCGUACGGUGACCCAUAGUUGUUAAUGUCUGUGCCAUUUUGGUCUCUUGUGGACACAGUUGUCACAUUGGCAAUCAUACCUCAUCUUCUUUUUUAUAUUUUCCAAAUCGGCCUAGGUAUCAUCCCUAGACCGAUAUAAGCAUCUAGACUUCAUCUUGUGCUGAUAUGGGAAUCUUAGGAUGAUACCCGGGCUGAUAUGAAAAAGGCCAUUUAUUAAUCUCUAUGUUUCAUUAACAUGUUUUUUUCCUGAACACUGUAGACACAUUAAUUUUCGUAGGGAUUUAAUUACGUGGUUUCCAUUAAAUGGUAGUGAUAUUAUAUGAAGGUUACAUUUCGUGGGGUUUUUAAUUUCGUGCGUGGAUAUAUUCUUCCCACGAAAUAAACGAAAUUAAAUCCUCCACGAAAAUUUCUGCCUUUACAGUAUGCAUUAAUUUUGCAGCUAGACAUGAGACCUGCACCGAGCCAUCAUAAUCAUUAUGAUAAAAAUAUUUUGUUAGUGUUUUUAAUCCUUUUGCCUUUUUUAAUAGGAACAAUGGUAAAGGUUCUGCAGUGGAUUUACCAUAGUCAUGAGUGACUCGUCACCCCAGAAGAAGGAAACUUUGGAAGAAAGACAGCAAGCCUUAAGGUAGGCAUUUUUUAGUUU